UAAUACGGAGGGUGCAAGCGUUAUUCGGAAUUAUUGGGCGUAAAGGGCGCGUAGGCGGCCUGAUAAGUCAGAUGUGAAAGCCCGGGGCUUAACCCCGGAAGUGCAUUUGAUACUGUUAGGCUUGAGUAUGGGAGAGGGAAGUGGAAUUCCUGGUGUAGAGGUGAAAUUCGUAGAUAUCAGGAGGAACACCGGUGGCGAAGGCGACUUCCUGGACCAAUACUGACGCUGAGGCGCGAAGGCGUGGGGAGCAAACAGGAUUAGAUACCCUGGUAGUCCACGCAGUAAACGUUGAUCACUAGGUGAAGCGGGUAUUGACCCCUGCUGUGCCGCAGUUAACGCAUUAAGUGAUCCGCCUGGGGAGUACGGUCGCAAGACUA
rnacentral:rRNA from 1 species